rnacentral:rRNA from 1 species
UACGUAGGGUGCAAGCGUUAUCCGGAAUUAUUGGGCGUAAAGAGCUCGUAGGCGGUUUGUCGCGUCUGCUGUGAAAACCCGAGGCUCAACCUCGGGCCUGCAGUGGGUACGGGCAGACUAGAGUGCGGUAGGGGAGAUUGGAAUUCCUGGUGUAGCGGUGGAAUGCGCAGAUAUCAGGAGGAACACCGGUGGCGAAGGCGGAUCUCUGGGCCAUAACUGACGCUGAGGAGCGAAAGCAUGGGGAGCGAACAGG